UGGCUAGGUAAGUCCCUUGUUAAAUCCACCGAAUUAAUCGUUGGAUCGCGGGGGAUACUGCUUGGCUAGGGGACGAGAGAGGCAGACGGUAUUUUCGGGGUAGGGGUGAGAUCCUAUAAUCCCGGGAAGACCACCAGUGGCGAAGGCUGUCUGCUAGAACGCGCCCGACGGUGAGGGAUGAAAGCUGGGGGAGCGAACCGGAUUAGAUACCCGGGUAGUCCCAGCUGUAAACGAUGCAGACUAGGUGUUUGGACGGCCACGUGCCGUUCUAGUGCCGCAGGGAAGCUGUUAAGUCUGCCGCCUGGGGAGUACGAUCGCAAGAUUGAAACUUAAAGGAAUUGGCGGGGGAGCACCACAAGGGGUGAAGCUUGCGGUUUAAUUGGAGUCAACGCCGGAAAUCUCACCGGGAGCGACAGCAGUAUGAAAGCCAGAUUGAAGGUCUUGCUAGACGAGCUGAGAGGAGGUGCAUGGCCGUCGCCAGUUCGUGCCGUGAGGUGUCCUGUUAAGUCAGGCAACGAUCGAGACCCGCGUCCUCUGUUGCUACCAGCUUUGAGCUGGGCACACUGAGGAGACCGCCACUGAUAAAGUGGAGGAAGGAGCGGGCCACGGCAGGU
rnacentral:rRNA from 1 species